CGUGCCUAAUACAUGCAAGUCGAACGCAUUGUGGUUGAGAUGAUAUGAAGAACUUGUUCAGAUUUGAUUUUCAACAUUGCAAUGAGUGGCGAACGGGUGAGUAACACGUGGGAAACCUACCUCUUAGCAGGGGAUAACAUUUGGAAACAAUGCUAAUACCGUAUAAUAAUUAAAACCGCAUGGUUUUAGUUUAAAAGAUGGUCUUGCUAUCACUAAGAGAUGGUCCCGCGGUGUAUUAGUUAGUUGGUGAGGUAAUGGCUCACCAAGACAAUGAUACAUAGCCGAGUUGAGAGACUGACCGGCCACAAUGGGACUGAGACACGGCCCAUACUCCUACGGGAGGCAGCAGUAGGGAAUCUUCCACAAUGGACGAAAGUCUGAUGGAGCAACGCCGCGUGUGUGAUGAAGGGUUUCGGCUCGUAAAACACUGUUGUAAGAGAAGAAUGACAUUGAGAGUAACUGUUCAAUGUGUGACGGUAUCUUACCAGAAAGGAACGGCUAAAUACGUG
rnacentral:rRNA from 1 species